AGAGGUUCCAGCUGGAUUGAGUUGGGAUGUGUAGUCCAUGAGUUUUUCAUGGGAGAUAAUUCUCAUUUUGAUUCAGAAAACAUUUACUUUAUCUUGGACUUGCUCAGCAAAGAUAUGAAGCUUUUGGGAUAUAGUAUGGACUCCAAAAAGGAGGCACCACUACUACAGCAGUUUGCAAGAUAGUUGACCAGACUGAAAUGUAAUAGAGGGAAG
rnacentral:misc_RNA from 1 species